CAGUCGCCACGGGAAUACGUAGGGUGCUAGCGUUGCUCGGAAUUACUGGGCGUAAAGGGAGCGUAGGCGGACAUUUAAGUCAGGGGUGAAAUCCCAGAGCUCAACUCUGGAACUGCCUUUGAUACUGGGUGUCUUGAGUGUGAUAGAGGUAUGUGGAACUCCGAGUGUAGAGGUGAAAUUCGUAGAUAUUCGGAAGAACACCAGUGGCGAAGGCGACAUACUGGAUCAUUACUGACGCUGAGGCUCGAAAGCGUGGGGAGCAAACAGGAUUAGAUACCCCGUAGUCCCUGUCUCUUAUACA
rnacentral:rRNA from 1 species